rnacentral:rRNA from 1 species
GAUGAACGCUGGCGGAGUGCCUAAUACAUGCAAGUCGAGCGGCAGCGCGAGUAGUUUACUACUUGGCGGCGAGCGGCGGACGGCUGAGUAACGCGUGGGAACGUGCCCCAAAGUGAGGAAUAACUGCCCGAAAGGGUAGCUAAUGCCGCAUAUGGUCUUCGGAUUAAAGGAUUUAUCCGCUUUGGGAGCGGCCCGCGUCAGAUUAGGUUGUUAGUGAGGUAAAGGCUCACCAAGCCGACGAUCUGUAGCUGGUCUGAGAGGAUGAUCAGCCAGACUGGGACUGAGACACGGCCCAG